rnacentral:rRNA from 1 species
GGGGGGGGGGGGGGGGGGGGGGGGGGGGGGGGGGGGGGGGGGGGGGGGCGUGCGGGGGGGGGGGGCUCGGGGGGCGGGGGGGUGGGUAGCACGUGAGUAGCGUGCGCGUGAGUGGGGGAUAACGUCCGUAAGCUGGGGCUAAUGCCGGAUCGGCGCUCCUGGUGCAUGGUGGGGGUUUGAAAGUGUCGGCGGUUGGGGAGGGACUCGCGGCUUAUCCGCUUGUUGGUGGGGUAGUGGCUUACCAAGGCUUUGACGGGUAGACGGCCUGAGAGGGUGACCGGCCAAAUUGGGACUGAGAUACGGCCCAGAAUCCUACGGGAGGCAGCAGUGGGGAAUAUUGCACAAUGGGCGGAAGCCUGAUGAAGCAACGCCGCGUGCGGGAUGACGGACUUCGGGUGGUAAACCGCUUUCGCCUGUGACGAAGCGUGAGUGACGGUAAUGGGUAAAGAAGCACCGGCUAACUACGUG